UUGAGUAGAGAUGAGGUUUCACCAUGUUGGCCAGGCUGGUCUCGAUCUCUUGACCUCGUGAUCUACCCGUCUCAGCCUCCCAAAGUCCUGGGAUUACAGGCAUGAGCCCCCACGCCUGGCCGGAAGCUUUUUUAUCGUGCAUGCCACAUGUGCCCAUGUGCCUCCAGUCCACGUGUGACCCUGCUCAUUCCUCCGGGUUUUCAUGUGUUUCUGUCUCAGGCAUGAAUUGCUUUUAAUGACGUGUCCGUGGGGGGCCAUGUGCCCCCCGGGAUCUCUGUGUCUUCCAGCAGCCGACUGAGGCACAUCAUGGCUGAGAUGAUCGCCACAGAGAGGGAGUACGUUCGGUGCUUAGGAUACGUCAUCGACAACUAUUUCCCAGAAAUGAAAAGAAUGGACUUGCCCCAGGGCCUUCGAGGGAAGCACCACGUUAUUUUCGGCAACUUGGAGAAGCUCCACGACUUCCACCAGCAGCACUUCCUCCGGGAGCUGGAGCGCUGCCGGCACUGCCCCUUGGCCGUGGGCCGCAGUUUCCUAAGACACGAAGAGCAAUUUGGGAUGUACGUGAUCUACAGCAAAAACAAGCCGCAGUCGGAUGCCCUGCUCAGCAGCCACGGCAACGCCUUCUUCAAGGACAAGCAGCGGGAGCUGGGUGACAAGAUGGACCUGGCCUCCUACCUGCUGCGGCCCGUGCAGCGUGUGGCCAAGUACGCGCUGCUACUCCAGGACCUGCUCAAGGAGGCCAGCUGCAGCCUGGCCCAGGGGCAGGAGCUGGGCGAGCUCCGAGCCGCUGAGGUCAUGGUCUGCUUCCAGCUGCGUCACGGCAAUGACCUGCUGGCCAUGGACGCCAUCCGCGGCUGUGACGUGAAUUUGAAGGAACAGGGGCAGCUGAGAUGCCGGGAUGAGUUUAUCGUUUGCUGCGGGAGGAAGAAGUAUCUGAGGCAUGUGUUCCUCUUUGAAGACCUCAUCCUGUUUAGCAAGACCCAGAAGGUGGAGGGCAGCCACGACGUCUACCUGUACAAGCAGUCCUUCAAGACGGCCGAGAUCGGGAUGACAGAGAACGUCGGGGACAGUGGCUUGAGGUUUGAGAUUUGGUUUCGCAGGCGGCAGAAAUCUCAGGACACCUACAUUCUCCAAGCAAGCUCGGCAGAGGUCAAGAGUGCAUGGACCGAUGUCAUAGGGAGGAUCCUGUGGCGGCAGGCACUAAAGAGCAGAGGAAGGUGGGGAACACCCCCCAGGCAGAGAGACCUGGACAGCUACCGCCGUGAAUGAGAGCUCUCUGGCUGCCCCCCGGCCAGCUAUGCUCUGACGGCCAAGCAUGGCAGUCCUUGCCUGUGUCCCAGCGUGGGGUUAGUUCUGGAACAUUUGAUCACUUCUCCUGCUCCGCUCUCUGCACUCCACCUGGAACUCCCGAUUACACAGCUCAGAAUCCAAGAAAUGGCAUCCAUGGGGAUAGGCAACCAGCCAUUCAUGGACAUCAAGCCCAGAGACCGGGCCCGUGACUGUGCAGUGAUAAGCGACCGGGCUCCCAAAUGUGCAGUGAUGAGCAACCGGGUCCCCGACAGCAUCGUCAAAGGCACAGAGUCACAAAUGAGAGGGUCCGCAGCGGUGUCCUCCUCUGAUCAUGCCACCCCCUUCAAGCGACCACACUCCACCAUCUCGGACAGCAGCACCUCCUCUUCUAGCAGCCAGUCCUCCUCCAUCCUGGUGUCACUGGGCCUGCUUGUGUCCUCCAGCCCAGCUCACCCGGGCCUGUGGAGCCCUGCCCACAGCCCCUGGUCAUCUGACAUCAGAGCCUGCGUCGAGGAAGAUGAGCCAGAGCCAGAACUGGAGACGGGCACCCAGGCUGCGGUGCAUGAGGGGGCUCCUGCUGUGCUGCUGAGCCGCACACGCCAGGCCUGAUGACUCUGGGGGUGGCAGUGCCCAUCACGUAGCUGGAAUGAUACAUAGGGAGCAGCACGCCAGGCCUGAUGACUCUGGGGGUGGCGGUGCCCAUCGCGUGGCUGGAACGAUCCAGAGGGAGUAGCACAGCAGGUGUCCAGGUAUUUCUCUGGAUUUUAGACACUCCCUAACAUUUUCAAACAAAUUUAAAAUUUUGUCUGAUUUAAAAAACAAACCUUCCACUUCCACCCAAGAGAACAGCAUAGGAAACAGACCUAAAACAAGAC
rnacentral:sRNA from 1 species